rnacentral:rRNA from 1 species
AGCUGAUCAUUGGGCUUAAAGGGUGCGCAGGCGGUUUUGUAAGACAGAGGUGAAAUCCCCGGGCUCAACCUGGGAACUGCCUUUGUGACUGCAAGGCUGGAGUGCGGCAGAGGGGGAUGGAAUUCCGCGUGUAGCAGUGAAAUGCGUAGAUAUGCGGAGGAACGCCGAUGGCGAAGGCAAUCCCCUGGCCUGCACUGACGCUCAUGCACGAAAGCGUGGGGAGCAAACA